GUGUGUCAGGUGUGUGUGUCAGGUGUGUGUCAGGUGUGUGUCAGGUGUGUGUCAGGUGUCAGGUGUGUGUCAGGUGUCAGGUGUGUGUCAGGUGUGUGUCAGGUGUGGGGUGUGUGUCAGGUGUGUGUCAGGUGUGUGUGUCAGGUGUGUGUGUCAGGUGUGUGUCAGGUGUGUGUCAGGUGUGUGUCAGGUGUGUGUCAGGUGUGUGUCAGGUGUGUGUCAGGUGUCAUGUGUGUGUCAGGUGUGUGUCAGGUGUGUGUCAGGUGUGUGUCAGGUGUCAGGUGUGUGUCAGGUGUGUGUCAGGUGUGUGUCAGGUGUGUGUCAGGUGUGUGUGUCAGGUGUGUGUCAGGUGUGUGUCA